rnacentral:rRNA from 1 species
GAUGAACGCUGGCGGCGUGCCUAAUACAUGCAAGUCGAGCGAACAGAUGAGGAGCUUGCUCCUCUGACGUUAGCGGCGGACGGGUGAGUAACACGUGGAUAACCUACCUAUAAGACUGGGAUAACUUCGGGAAACCGGAGCUAAUACCGGAUAAUAUAUUGAACCGCAUGGUUCAAUAGUGAAAGACGGUUUUGCUGUCACUUAUAGAUGGAUCCGCGCCGCAUUAGCUAGUUGGUAAGGUAACGGCUUACCAAGGCAACGAUGCGUAGCCGACGUGAGAGGGUGAUAGGCCGCACGGGAAGGGGGACAGCGACCAGGCUCCUGAGGUAGGCAGCAGUAGGGAACGGGCCGCAGUAGGGGAGAGCCUUGCGGAACAGCGGCGCGUGAGAGGUAGAGGUGUUGGGAGCGGAAUGCUCGGUUAUGAGGGAAGAACAAAUGUGGAAGUAACUAUGCACGGCUUGACGGUACUUAGUCAGGAAGCCACGGCUAACUACGUG